ensembl:lncRNA
GGUUUCACCAUUGUCAUAAUUAUGACUUUUUGUUGUAAUUUUAGCUAUUCAUAUCAUAAUUAUCACUAUGUAUGUCAUUAUUUUGACUUUUUAUCUCAUAAUUCUGGCUUAUCUCAUAACUUCAACAUGAUCAAAAGUGUGUGUGUGUGUGUGUGUCGGUGUAUUUCUUUAUAUAUGUGUGUGUGUGUGUGUGUGUGUGUGUGUGUGUGUGUGUGUGUGUGUGUGUGUGUGAGACGCUGGGUCUGGUUGGAUGGUCUGAUGGCAGUCAGUCGUCUCUUGCAACAGAAGGUCUCCGUCUGUCUCCUGAAACCAGAGCCGAUUCUGAUAAAUGUCCCGGUGUCACUGGCAGCAGCAGUGGUGCGAUGGCUCUUUAAUUCGGCCCCUGAAGGAACAUCUGCAGUCAGACAGCAUUUACAGGGGCCAGGGGACCGAAUGAGACACGGACACCUGCAGAGGUAAACAGCUCCUUGUCUUGGCAGAUCUGAGUUACAUCAGAGUUUGAGAUGUACAGUAGUUAAGAAACUCCAGAGGUUAUCCUGAAGGAUCUCAGAGUCUUUCCGUUUCAUCUGAGGAUCUGCAUGACGGAAGACUUAAACAGAAGAGUUCAGAUUGAGCAAAUAACAGCAGCUGGUGACCUUCAGAGACGUCUUUCUCUGUAAGCACAGCAUCAGCUUUCACGCUCUUCAAACGUCUAAACGGCGCCACCGUUCCUUUAGAGCUCUAGGCUUUCAGAGCCGCUGCUGUCAGUCAAGCGCGUCUGACGCGUCUGAUAGAGUUUCUCCGCAGGGUUUGAACUGGUUCCUGAUUCUCCUGUCAUCUGAUACAGACUGAAGUCAAACCUUCACUGUGUCUGCCCUGCACGGGCGUCAAGGGCACCAACACAUGAAAAAUGAACACAGGCCGAGAGGAGAUGAUGAGCUGUGUGUGUGUGUGUGUGUGUGUGUGUUCCCCAUCUGAUCUCUGAACAGCCAUUAAAAGCUGAAGCUCAUCUAGUAUUAACAGCACAUGCAUUAGAAACUGAAGCUCUCACUCCAUCCGUCCGUCUCUGAGUUCAGUUUCAGAAGCUGCACGUUUAUAAGCCACAAAUAAUACUGACACACACAAAAAAAACAACAUUUGCUGUGAAUGUGCUCAUCUAAGAUCAGGAUGAGUGUGUUUCUUCAUCAGGUUUGUAGAAAUGUAGCAUUGCAUCAGUGUCUCAGCAAUGGAUGCUCUGCAGUGAAUGGGUGCCGUCAGAAUGAGAGCUGAUAAAAACAUCACAAUAAUCCACAGCACUCCAGUCCAUCAGUUAACAUCGUUGUCACAUGUUUGUUUAGAGCUGUUUUGGACUGCAGUUUUAUAAAUUUAUGAAACUAAGCAUGUUAGUUAACUAUAUUAGUUGACUAUAUUAGUUAACAUCAACAAUAUUUAUAUAGCAUUUAUUAAUCUUAGUUAAUAUUAAGUUCAAAAACUAUCAACACAGUAUUAAUUAAAAUUUAGUCUUAACAUUAGUUGAUGUACUGUGUACUAAUAUAAAAAUACUUUUAUUAAUAAUUAACAAAGAUUUAUAUGCUGUAAUAAUUGUUUUAUCAAUAUUUAACAGUAUAAUUGUUCUUUGUUCGUUCAUGUCGGUUAAUGGAGUAACUAAUGUUAAUGAAUGAGAACUUAUUCAGAGUUACCAAAACUAUGAUCUAUAAGCAUUUUUAAAAAAUAUUUUAAUGAUCUAUAAGCAUUUGUGAUAUAAUCAUAUAAAACCAUAUUACCAAGACGUUUUUAACUAAAAUCCGAGUCCAUAAUAAUAACACUUCCUCCAGUGAAAAAGUGUUCUGGUGUGAAUCAGGAGAGAAAUCUGCACAGAUCAAGCAGCGUUUAAACAGCUCGAAACUAAUAUGUGACUGGAUUUUGAUGCGAGAGACAACAGCAGAUGCACUUAUGGACUUAUUAUGAAUUAUGGACUCAGUUAACUCAGUUAAGGACUCGGUUUUUCAGUUAAAAGCGUCUUAAUGCUGGAUUUGUUUCAUCUUUUGUCUUCUCCAGAUGUUCACUGAUGGACUGGAGUGCUGUGGAUUACUUGUGGAUUAUUGUGAUGUUUUUAUCAGCUCUCAUUCUGACGGCACCCAUUCACCGCAGAGCAUCCAUUGCUGAGACACUGAUGCAGUGCUACAUUUCUACAAACCUGAUGAAGAAACAAACUCAUCCUGAUCUCGGAUGAGCAGGUUAUCAGCUAAUGUUGAUUUUUGUCUGAACUCGUGCAGUGGUGCUGUAGUGGUGGAUGCGAGUGUCUUACAGAAUGAUGUUGGCGGGUGAUGAGCGUCUAUCGGUGUCUGUCAUCAGUGUCUGUCUCACUCUCGGCUCUUGUGUUGAGUGUUCGUGGGCACACACACUUCAGCUCAAACCGCAGCUGAUAAGCGCUUCACAUCAUCACAAACACAUCACUAACCUGAGCCACGGAUGCAGUUUCACACUCAGCAAUCACUCUGAUGUGUUUGAGCCAAUUCACUUCAAGUGAAUACUCUGUAGAAAAAUCAAUUAGCAGUUUGGGAGUUUGACCAAAGAAUUAUUGUUUGUUACAUUAAUAUCUGAAAACUAGUAACCAACAUGCAGAAAAAUAUUUUGUCUCUUAAAAAUAUCUGAUAAUUUGACUUUUUUUUAAGAUCAUGUCUGAUAAGGGUGUUGUGUGUGAAAUGGCGAAACAAUAAGAAGGUUUGUAAAAUAAUAAUAAAUGAAAUAAAUAAACAAACA